AGAAAGUUAACAGCUAACUAAUGUGCUUUAUUUUGUAGGAAGUUCCCUCCCUCUUUUUACUAAUUGCUUUUGCCAUAGUCAUUAUUAUCUAUCUGUCUUCCAUCACAACCCCCAUCUAUGAACUAACCAUCCUACUAAAUAAGAAUGCUGUUCCUUCACAAUUGUUUUUCUGCAAAGCACAGUACACACACUCCAUGGUAAAAUAACUGUGACUAAGAGCUGACAGAAGGAAAACAGUGAGAAAUGUUUGCAUGUAUGCUUCUGUCAGAUCAGAUUAUGAGAUUUCUCUUCUGGAAACAGGGUUAGGGAAGUAAUCUUGAAACUUUACUUUCACAAUAUGAGAAGAGAAGUAUUUCCUCGUGCUUGUUUCUUUCCCUGCUGAGAAGAAUUCCUGCAGCUAAGGAUCUAAACAGAGGGGUAACUUGAAGAGGGGAACUGAACUCUGUACUUGAUAAGGAAGAAACAAUACCAUCAAUGUUUAUCUGUUCCUCACAAGAUGAG